AUGGAAGGAAACUGGACUCUUGAAUAUUUCCUGGAAUGCCCACCUUUUGAUCAAGGAUUUGCAUGUCUGCUUCUCCAAUCUCCCCCUCGGGACAUUCAAAGAAGGCACCUAAGUCUCUGUCAUCAACCACACUUCCACACUCUUCGGAGGGACGUGUGGCCAAGAUGCUGGGUGAUCGCUAUGUCUUCCUUCCCUAUUUCCCUCACUGCCCAGUCCUCAUCGUCCACGUAAUCUCUCCCACCCCCGAGUAAUGCAGGAUUCUCAGUGGGGUGUAGGCCAGGAAGGACAGUCACCUCCCUCCAACACUCACUGACGCUAGUCCCGGGAUUCUAUAUAUCAUUAGUUCUGCUGCUCACAGAUGGGCCAGCAGCAGCCGAGUAUGCAUCUCCUGGCGGGCAGCAGGCUCUCCAUGGCUCUUGAAGGCUCUGCAGCUCUGUCUCCACUUGCCAGUGGCCUAUGGGCCACAAGAGACCACCUGGAACCCUGAAGGACUGUUUCCUCUCCAGCAGAAACAAGGGCCCACCAAUCAGAAUAGACCGUUCAUUGGGUCGGGCUGAAGGAAGGGAAAGCACCCUGUUUGAGAAAACUGUGUCCCUGAUUUUGUGUAAAUAGAAAGUGACAUUACUAAUGCAGUGCCUUGGGGGAGUGGAAACAGCUUACUGCAGCCCCUAACUCAGGCCACUCCAGGCCCCACCUGGCUGCACAGCACAGCUAGAGGGUCAAAGCAGGACCAUGCCACAGCCCGAGGUCCACACAUGAUUCGCUGAGGGCAGCAUGCUGGCCUGUCCCUGCUGAGGCUCAUGACCCUGAUUUCAAGUCUCCUUCUGCUGCAGGGAAGGCUGGUCCUGCCUGCAGAGUCUGUCUACCUUGCUAGACUAAGCUCCUUGAAGAAGAGUCUAUGUUUUCUUCAUCUCUGCAUUCUCAGUAGCUAACCAAUGUCCAGUGUACACUAAGGGCUCAGUCAUUGCCUUGUUUUCUUGUUGACUCUACUCUGAUUUAGGACAUAACACUUUCCCCUCUUGACCUCUGUAUUCAGAUUUGUAAGUGGGUAAAGGCCCCUGUGGCUUUAAAACCCCUCCAACAUAGAACUCAAACUGGAGCCAGUCCCAAGGAAUGAUGAAUGGAGCAUUUUUCCUGGUGUGAUGGAGAGGACCCACAGAUCUGGCUGUCUUGUCACUUGAAUCCCUCUGCAGAAUUUGACCCCAGUUUUCAAAUCAGACUCAAGAACGAUGUGGGUUUUUUGUUUUAUUUUUUGAGACUUUGUUAUUGACACAGUUUCUGG
rnacentral:lncRNA from 1 species